rnacentral:rRNA from 1 species
GAUGAACGCUGGCGGUAUGCCUAACACAUGCAAGUCGUACGAGAGUUUUUAACUCUAGUGGCGGACGGGUGAGUAACACGUGAGAAUUUGCCUUUAGGAGGGGGAUAACAAUUGGAAACGAAUGCUAAUACCCCAUAUGCUUUUGAGUGAAAUGGAUUUUAUCCGCCUAGAGAGAAGCUCGCGGCUGAUUAGCUUGUUGGUAAGGUAAGAGCUUACCAAGGCGACGAUCAGUAUCUGGUUUGAGAGGACGAUCAGACACACUGGAACUGAGACACGGUCCAGACUCCUACGGGAGGCAGCAGUGGGGAAUUUUCCGCAAUGGGCGAAAGCCUGACGGAGCAAUACCGCGUGAGGGAAGAAUGCCUAUGGGUUGUAAACCUCUUUUUCAGGGUAGGAAUAAAUGACGUGUACCUGAAGAAUAAGCAUCGGCUAACUCCGUG